rnacentral:misc_RNA from 1 species
GAUGAAGAACGUAGCGAAAUGCGAUAAGUAAUGCGAAUUGCAGAAUUUCCGUGAGUCAUCGAAUCUUUGAACGCACAUUGCGCCCACUGGUAUUCCGGUGGGCAUGCCUGUUCGAGCGUCAUUAUCCUCCCUCAAACCCCGGGUUUGGUGUUGGACCCAAGUUGUGUGAACAACUGGUCUCAAAGACAAUGACGGCGUCCGUGGGACCCUCGGUGCAACGAGCUUUUAGGAGCACGCAUCGAGUUGCAAGGACCUUCCGGGCCGGUCUCCUUUACCAUUUUACAUGGUUGACCUCGGAUCAGGUAGGAAUACCCGCUGAACUUAAGCAUAUCAAUAAGCGGAGGA